CAGUCGCCGCGGUAAUACAGAGGGUGCGAGCGUUAAUCGGAUUUACUGGGCGUAAAGCGUGCGUAGGCGGUUUGUUAAGUCUGCUGUGAAAUCCCCGGGCUCAACCUGGGAAUGGCAGUGGAUACUGGCAAGCUAGAGUGUGUCAGAGGAUGGUGGAAUUCCCGGUGUAGCGGUGAAAUGCGUAGAGAUCGGGAGGAACAUCAGUGGCGAAGGCGGCCAUCUGGGACAACACUGACGCUGAGGCACGAAAGCGUGGGGAGCAAACAGGAUUAGAUACCCCUGUAGUCCCUGUCUCUUAUAC
rnacentral:rRNA from 1 species